ACUCAAAUGAAUAGACGGGGGCCCGCACAAGCAGUGGAGUAUGUGGUUUAAUUCGAAGCAACGCGAAGAACCUUACCGGGGCUUGACAUCUACGGAACCCCGCAGAGAUGCGGGGGUGCCUUCGGGAGCCGUAAGACAGGUGGUGCAUGGUUGUCGUCAGCUCGUGUCGUGAGAUGUUGGGUUAAGUCCCGCAACGAGCGCAACCCUUAUUGUCAGUUGCCAUCAUUAAGUUGGGCACUCUGGCAAGACUGCCGGUGAUAAAUCGGAGGAAGGUGGGGACGACGUCAAAUCAUCAUGCCCCUUAUGUCCCGGGCUACACACGUACUACAAUGGCCGUUUAACAACGGGGAGCAAAGCCGCGAGGUGGAGCAAAUCCUUAAAAACGGUCUCAGUUCGGAUUGCAGGCUGCAACUCGCCUGCAUGAAGUCGGAAUUGCUAGUAAUCGCGAAUCAGCAUGUCGCGGUGAAUACGUUCCCGGGCCUUGUACACACCGCCCGU
rnacentral:rRNA from 1 species